rnacentral:rRNA from 1 species
AUUGAACGCUGGCGGUAUGCUUAACACAUGCAAGUCGAACGGUAGCAGGCCUUCGGGCGCUGACGAGUGGCGGACGGGUGAGUAACGCGUAGGAAUCUGCCUCAUAGUGGGGGACAACGUGGGGAAACUCACGCUAAUACCGCAUACGCCCUACGGGGGAAAGCGGGGGCUCUUCGGACCUCGCGCUAUAAGAUGAGCCUGCGUUAGAUUAGCUAGUUGGCAGGGUAAAAGCCUACCAAGGCGACGAUCUAUAGCUGGUCUGAGAGGACGAUCAGCCACACUGGGACUGAGACACGACCCAGACUCCUACUGGAGGCAGCAGUGGGGAAUAGUGGACAAUGGGCGCAAGCCUGAUCCAGCAAUACCGCGUGUGUGAAGAAGGCCCUAGGGUUGUAAAGCACUUUCAAUUGGGAGGAAAACCUGUCGGUCAAUACCCGGCAGCUUGACAUUACCUUUAGAAGAAGCACCGGCUAACUCCGUGCCAGCCGCCGCGGUAAUAC